rnacentral:ribozyme from 14 species
AUAUAUACGACUCGGAAUCGGAAUCAGAAUGUAGUCGAAAAGAAAGAAGAAUACGAUGAUACCUCGAAUAUCCGUCCGUCAUCGUUUUCCUUUUUCUCACGAUAUUUUUCUUGAUCCUCUUCUUCCCUC